GAUGAACGCUAGCUACAGGCUUAACACAUGCAAGUCGAGGGGCAUCAGGAAGAAAGCUUGCUUUCUUUGCUGGCGACCGGCGCACGGGUGAGUAACACGUAUCCAACCUGCCCUUUACUCGGGGAUAGCCUUUCGAAAGAAAGAUUAAUACCCGAUAGCAUAAUGAUUCCGCAUGGUUUCAUUAUUAAAGGAUUCCGGUAAAGGAUGGGGAUGCGUUCCAUUAGGUUGUUGGUGAGGUAACGGCUCACCAAGCCUUCGAUGGAUAGGGGUUCUGAGAGGAAGGUCCCCCACAUUGGAACUGAGACACGGUCCAAACUCCUACGGGAGGCAGCAGUGAGGAAUAUUGGUCAAUGGGCGGUAGCCUGAACCAGCCAAGUAGCGUGAAGGAUGAAGGCUCUAUGGGUCGUAAACUUCUUUUAUAUAAGAAUAAAGUGCAGUAUGUAUACUGUUUUGUAUGUAUUAUAUGAAUAAGGAUCGGCUAACUCCGUGCCAGCAGCCGCGGUAAUACGGAGGAUCCGAGCGUUAUCCGGAUUUAUUGGGUUUAAAGGGAGCGUAGGUGGACUGGUAAGUCAGUUGUGAAAGUUUGCGGCUCAACCGUAAAAUUGCAGUUGAUACUGUCAGUCUUGAGUACAGUAGAGGUGGGCGGAAUUCGUGGUGUAGCGGUGAAAUGCUUAGAUAUCACGAAGAACUCCGAUUGCGAAGGCAGCUCACUGGACUGCAACUGACACUGAUGCUCGAAAGUGUGGGUAUCAAACAGG
rnacentral:rRNA from 1 species